rnacentral:rRNA from 1 species
UAGGGAAUCUUCCACAAUGGACGAAAGUCUGAUGGAGCAACGCCGCGUGAGUGAAGAAGGUUUUCGGGUCGUAAAGCUCUGUUGUUAAAGAAGAACGUGGGUAAGAGUAACUGUUUACCCAGUGACGGUAUUUAACCAGAAAGCCACGGCUAACUACGUGCCAGCAG